GUUGAAUACCUUAACUAUUUAACAAUAAAACAGGAGCAAGAGAAUGGAACAUAAAUAACUUCAUAAGCAUUUGGAUGCAAACGGCUUAAAAAUGCAGCAAUGGCGUCCAAUAAAUUCAGACGCAUUUGACACACCAGCAGCUUGCACGUGUCGCCAUCAAUUUCAACCAAAACGCCUACCAUGUGCGAUGCCCCACAAUUAACUAAGCGCUUUUCAAUUACUUGGCAAUCAUGGAUCAUUCAUGGGAUUAAUUCCGCCAACCGAGCCACUUCAUCAUCACCACAAAAUUGUGGGGAAAAUUGUGGAAAUGUGAGAGUAAGACUAUCUCGAUAAUGAAGUGUACGGAAAUAGACAAAGAUUUAGGGAUUUCUUCCGCUCCCCAUUGGGAUAUUGACUUGCUGAUUAUUUUUAUUUGGCCGGCCAGCGCUUCAAUUGAGACAUAAAACUAUGCCAACACACGAGCAUAAACAUUUAUACACACGAUUAGGAGUGCUGUUUGUUUUUAUGUUUGGUUUAGCGCUUCCGUUUGCGGCCAACAAGAAAUUCCAGCACACAUUGCGUAUACGCGUUAAAUGGCCCAGAAUGAGAUACAAACAAACAGACGAGUGGCAGAGAAAAAGAAAACCAAAAAUUGGCAAAACGAAGGGAGCCCAAACAUUUUUGGCGCGAUUAAAGUGUGCACUUUUAGUUCAAUAAAACAUGGCCCAUAAAUCAAUGAAAAACUAAUCGGAAAAUCAAAAAGAAAACACGGGGGGAUUUGUUUGUCCGAAAUGAAAUUGGCUGGCCCACAAAAAAAGCAUG
rnacentral:sRNA from 1 species